GACGAACGCUGGCGGCGUGCUUAAUACAUGCAAGUCGAACGGAAAGGCUCUGCUUUUGUGGCGUGCUCGAGUGGCGAACGGGUGUGUAACACGUGAGUAUCCCGCCCUUGACUUUGGGAUAAAUCCAGGAAACUGGGGCUAAUAUCCGGUAGGAGCUCCUGAUGCAUGUUGGGGGUUGGUAAGUUUCGGCGUUUGGGGAUUGACUCGCGGCGUAUCAGCUUGUUGGUGAGGUAGUGGAUUACCAAGGCUUUGAAGGGUAGCCGGCCUGAGAGGGUGACCGGCCAAAUUACGACUGAGGUAGGGGUCAGUCUCCAACGGGAAGCAGCAGUGGGGAAUAUUGCCGAAUGGGCGGGAGCCUGAUGCAGCAACGCCACGUACGGAAUAACGGCCUUCGAGUUGUGAACCGAUUUCGACUGAGACGAAGCGUGAGUGACGGUAAUGUGUAAAGAAGCACCGGCUAACUACGUG
rnacentral:rRNA from 1 species